rnacentral:rRNA from 1 species
UACGGGGGGAGCAAGCGUUGUUCGGAUUCAUUGGGCGUAAAGGGUGUGUAGGUGGCGCCGUAAGUCGGGUGUGAAAUUUCGGAGCUUAACUCCGAACCUGCAUUCGAUACUGCGGUGCUUGAGGACUGGUGAGGAGACUGGAAUUCAUGGUGUAGCAGUGAAAUGCGUAGAGAUCAUGAGGAAGACCAGUGGCGAAGGCGGGUCUCUGGACAGUUCCUGACACUGAGACACGAAGGCCAGGGGAGCAAACGGG